rnacentral:rRNA from 1 species
UCGUAGGUGAACCUGCGGAAGGAUCAUUAUUG